rnacentral:rRNA from 1 species
UGAGGAAUAUUGGGCAAUGCCCGCAAGGGUGACCCGGCAACGCCGCGUGGAGGAUGAAUGUCGUAAGAUUGUAAACUCCUGUUAGAGGGGAAGAAUAGUACCGGUUGGACCGGUAUAUGACUGUACCCUCAGAGAAAGCCCCGACUAACUACGUGCCAGCAGCCGCGGUAAUACGUAGGGGGCAAGCGUUGUCCGGAUUUACUGGGUGUAAAGGGCGCGCAGGCGGGAUAAAAAGUCAGUGGUGAAAUCCUACAGCUUAACUGUAGAACUGCCUGUGAUACUUUUAGUCUUGAGUUCGGGAGAGAGAGACGGAAUUCCAGGUGUAGUGGUGAAAUACGUAGAUAUCUGGAAGAACACCAGUUGCGAAGGCGGUCUCUUGGUCCGACACUGACGCUGAGGCGCGAAAGCGUGGGGAGCAAACA